UGAGCACUGCGCAUGUGCGGGUGUACAGUUGAACUCAGGUGGCUUUUGGACCCAAAAUAAUUUUGUGGAAACACGUUUGCAUUAAAAUGAAACCAACAAAUGAACGCCAGCUACAGUAACGGCAGCGAAAAGGUUUGCGAACGGACAGACUUUAAACAGCAGAAGAGGCGGAGUAGCUAAAGACUGACUGUUUUGGUUUUAUUUUUUCGCGGAGCUAAUAUUAAUGCUAGCUAACAAUGCUAACAACAACAACACCGGCACGAAGCUGUGAAAUGACCCGUCAGCUCAUUGCACUGGAAUUAACUCUACUGCACGGAAGAAAGUCCAAGAAGAAACACCUGUUUCAAGUCUUAAAGUGCUUCUCCAGCGACUGGGGGUUGCUUGGUGCCGGAUGGAGAUGGUGGCUUGCCAUGAGUGGUCUGCGUAGGACUGGCGAGUGUGAUGGCCUGGACAUUGUUUACUCAGACUGAACAGCAAACUAGCGAGGGAGGGUCGUCUGCUGAUUGAGCCACACCUGGGAUCAAGUGGCUCAAACGGCUUAAAAGCUCCCUCACUUCCAGCGUGACUGUCCCUCAUCCAUUCCUGUGUCAGGAAUCGUUGUCAGACCUCCAGGGACCUUAAAAAUGAGUGGGCACUGUGGAGAAAUUGGACUUAUUCAGCAAGGACAGUUGGAAACCAACUUCUUGAAGCUGGACUGAAGUCACACAGGGCAGGAAGAAGCCCUUCAUCAAGGAAAGACAGAGGAAAGCUGGUUACUCUUUACUGGGAUCACAAGGAUUGGACUGUUGAUGAUUGGACUAAGGUUCUCUUCAGGGAUGAAUCCAGUUUUCAGUUGAUGUCCACUCCAGUCAGCUUACUGGUUAGGAGGAAGCCUGGAGAAGCUACAAACCAGACUGUCUUUGUCCUACAGUAAAACAUGGGGGUGGAUCAGUGACCAUCUGGGGUAGUUUCAGUCUGGGUGGAACAGGGCAAAUGAACCAGGUCAUGUUUGGGGCUACUCUUGAAAACAGUCUUCUUCCAUCAGCUGGAAAACUCUUUCCUGCCUCCAAUGACUGGAUUUUCCAACAAGACAAUGUCACUGACCACACGACAAGGUCAGUUAAAGCCUGGAUGGAGAACCAGAACAUUGGAACCAUGUCUUGGCUGCUCAAUCACCAGAUCUAAAUCCAAUAGAAAACCUGUGUAAAAUCAUCAAACGCAAAAUAGAGAACCACAAGCCCAAAAACAAAGCUAAUUAGUAGAAUUAGUGCAACAGGAAUGGGCUGCUGUGACAGCAGAAAAAUGUCAGAAGCUGGUGGAGAGCAGCCAAGAUGCAUGGAUGCAGUCUUUAGAAACAAAGGUUAUGCAAUCAAAUACUAAGUCCUGUGUGUAUCAUGUGACUAAAACAGACAGAAAAGAAAACAUGGAAUCCUAGAAGCUGUUUUUGGCAGAACAAUGCCAUAGAUACUGAUGGAAGAACUUAUAUGAUUUUGGUUAUUACCAAGAAAACCAUGGAAAAUGGCUAGAUAUCAGCUCUGAAAUGAAACUCUUAUGAGCUAUUUUUGUUAUCAUUAUAUUUGUCCAAACAAAUGUACCAUUUAGUACUACCAGGCAUUAAAAUGAA
ensembl:lncRNA